rnacentral:rRNA from 1 species
AGAGUUUGAUCCUGGCUCAGAUUGAACGCUGGCGGCAUGCUUUACACAUGCAAGUCGAGCGGCAGCGCGGGGCAACCUGGCGGCGAGCGGCGAACGGGUGAGUAAUAGAUAGGAACGUGUCCGAGAGUGGGGGAUAACUAGCCGAAAGGUUAGCUAAUACCGCAUAUUCUCUGCGGAGGAAAGCGGGGGACCAGUAAUGGCCUCGCGCUCACGGAGUGGCCUAUCUCCGAUUAGCUAGUUGGUGAGGUAAAGGCUUACCAAGGCGACGAUCGGUAGCUGGUCUGAGAGGAUGAUCAGCCACACUGGGACUGAGACACGGCCCAGACUCCUACGGGAGGCAGCAGUGGGGAAUCUUGCGCAAUGCGCGAAAGCGUGACGCAGCAACGCCGCGUGUGCGAUGAAGGCCUUCGGGUUGUAAACCCCUUUCAGGAGGGACGAAGCCUGGCUGGUGAAUAGCCUGUCCAGGUGACGGUACCUCCACAAGAAGCCCCGGCUAACUACGUGCCAGCAGCCGCGGUAAUAC